AUUGAACGCUGGCGGCAGGCCUAACACAUGCAAGUCGAACGAGUGUCAGACGGGUGAGUAAUGUCUGGGAAACUGCCUGAUGGAGGGGGAUAAAUACUGGAAACGGUAGCUAAUACCGCAUACCAUCAGAUGUGCCCAGAUGGGAUUAGCUAGUGGGUGGGGUAACGGCUCACCAAGGAGACGAUCCCUAGCUGGUCUGAGAGGAUGACAGGCCACACUGGAACUGCGACACGGUCCAUACUCCUACGGGAGGAAGCAGUGGGGAAGAUUGAACAAUGGGCGCGAGCCUGAUGCAGCCAUGCCGCGUGUAUGAAGAAGGCCUUCGUGUUGUAAAGUACUUGCAGCGGGGAGGCGUUACCCGCAGAAGAAGCACCGGCUAACUCCGUGACAGCAGCCGCGGUAAUAC
rnacentral:rRNA from 1 species